rnacentral:rRNA from 1 species
GCUCNUUACAACAGCUAUAAUGUAUAUGAAUUUACUGAUAAAUGGAUAUCUGUGGUAAAUCUAGAGCUAAUACAUGCAUAAAAACCUUUUUGUUUUAACAAAUUGGUUAAAUUAUCGUUUCAAAACUAACGGGUUCGCCCUGUUUUGUUAACUCAUGAUAAUUAAUGACCGUUCUUUAAUGAAUGGAUAUUCAUAUUUGGUAUCUGCCCUAUCAACUAUAUGACAGUCUAUUGUACGGUCAUGGUUGUGCCGGGUAACGGAGAAUUAGGGUUCGUCUCCGGAGAGAAUGCCUUAGAAACGGCUUUCACUUCCAAGGAAGGCAGCAGGCGCGAAAAUUACCCAUUCUCAGAACGAGGAGGUAGUGACGUGAAAUGACAAGCUUUAAUUCUUACGAAUUGAAGCAUUGGAAUGGUUGAAUUUUAAAAUCAUUCAAGAUUAUCAAUGAGAGGGCAAGUCUGGUGCCAGCAGCCGCGGUAAUUCCAGCUCUCAUACUACAUUGAACUGCUGUUGCGGUUAAAAAGUUCGUAGUUGCAAAUGUACAUAUAAAUGUGGUUUAUCAUUUUAUUAUGGUAUAACUGCAUUUUGUGUUAUUUAUAUUUUCUUUACGGAAAAUAUAAUGAUACCCUGAGUAAAGCAAAGUGCUCAGAACAAGCUAUUGCUUGUAUGUUUUUGCUGGGAAUAUCAAACGAAUACAUUAGUUGACGUUUGUUGGUUUAACAGCUAUGUAAUGAUUAAUAGGGAUAAACGGGGGCAAACGUAUCGCAGGGGGAGAGGUGAAAUUCGUUGAUCCUUGCGAGACGGCCUAUAGCGAAAGCAUUUGCCAAGAAUGUUUUCUUUAAUCAAGAACGAAAGUCAGAGGUUCG